rnacentral:rRNA from 1 species
UACGGAGGGAGCUAGCGUUGUUCGGAAUUACUGGGCGUAAAGCGCACGUAGGCGGCUUUGUAAGUUAGAGGUGAAAGCCCGGAGCUCAACUCCGGAAUUGCCUUUAAUACUGCAUCGCUUGAAUCCAGGAGAGGUGAGUGGAAUUCCGAGUGUAGAGGUGAAAUUCGUAGAUAUUCGGAAGAACACCAGUGGCGAAGGCGGCUCACUGGACUGGUAUUGACGCUGAGGUGCGAAAGCGUGGGGAGCAAACAGG